CUACGGAGGGUGUAAGCGUUACUCGGAAUCACUGGGCGUAAAGCGCGCGCAGGCGGCUUGAUAAGUUGGAUGUGAAAGCCUACGGCUCAACCGUAGAACUGCAUCCAAAACUGUCAGGCUAGAGUGUGGGAGAGGAAGAUGGAAUUAGUUGUGUAGGGGUAAAAUCCGUAGAGAUAACUAGGAAUACCAAAAGCGAAGGCAAUCUUCUGGAACACUACUGACGCUGAGGCGCGAAGGCGUGGGGAGCAAACAGGAUUAGAAACCCGAGUAGUCC
rnacentral:rRNA from 1 species